AUUGAACGCUGGCGGCAUGCUUUACACAUGCAAGUCGAACGGUAACAGGCCGCAAGGUGCUGACGAGUGGCGAACGGGUGAGUAAUGCAUCGGAACGUGCCCAGUCGUGGGGGAUAACGCAGCGAAAGCUGCGCUAAUACCGCAUACGAUCUAUGGAUGAAAGCGGGGGACCGUAAGGCCUCGCGCGAUUGGAGCGGCCGAUGUCAGAUUAGGUAGUUGGUGGGGUAAAGGCUCACCAAGCCAACGAUCUGUAGCUGGUCUGAGAGGACGACCAGCCACACUGGGACUGAGACACGGUCCAGACUCCUACGGGAGGCAGCAGUGGGGAAUUUUGGGACAAUGGGCGCAAGCCUGAUCCAGCAAUGCCGCGUGCAGGAAG
rnacentral:rRNA from 1 species